ensembl:lncRNA
UAACAAUUAGAUGUACACACAGACACACUAACAAUUAGAUGUACACACAGACACACUAACAUUUGGUUCUAAACAAAGACACACACUAACAUUUAGAUGUACACAAAGACACAUUAAUAUUUAGAUGUACACAAAGACACAAUAACAAUUAGAUCUACACACAGACACACUAACAAUUAGAUCUACACACAGACACACUAACAAUUAGAUGUACACCCAGACACAUCCUGAUGAUCCUCCUCACGUCUCUUCUCCUUGUCUGCAGACCAACAGGACGUCAUCAGGACGCCACGUCACCGGGACGCCAUCAGGACACCACGUCAUCGGGACGCCAUCAGGACGCCAUCAGGACGCCAUCAGGACGCCAUCAGGACGCCGCGUCAACCCCUCAGGAGCAAAUCCAGAUCUACUCAUGACACACACACACACACACAGAUACCAACAGGACGUCAUCAGGACGCCACGUCACCGGGACGCCAUCAGGACACCACGUCAUCGGGACGCCAUCAGGACGCCAUCAGGACGCCAUCAGGACGCCAUCAGGACGCCGCGUCAACCCCUCAGGAGCAAAUCCAGAUCUACUCAUGACACACACACACACACACAGAUGUACUCACAGACACACUAACAUUUGGUUCUAAACAAAGACACACACUAACAUUUAGAUGUACACAAAGACACAUUAAUAUUUAGAUAUAUACACAGACACACUAACAUUUUAGAUGUACACACAGACACACUAAGAAUUAGAUGUACACACAGACACACUAACAUUUGGUUCUAAACAAAGACAAACACUAACAUUUAGAUCUACAGACAGACACACUAACAAUUAGAUGUACACACAGACACAUCCUGAUGAUCCUCCUCACGUCUCUUCUCCUUGUCUGCAGACCAACAGGACGCCAUCAGAACGCCACGUCACCGGGACGCCAUCAGGACGCCGCGUCAAGCCCUCAGGAGCAAAUCCAGAUCUACUCAUGACACACACACACACACAGAUAUUAUUAUAUUAUUUAAUAUUAUUAUUAUUGUUAAAUAU